CACUGUUAUUUUGGCCCUGACAUUCUAGGGUUCCCUGAGGCAGGGCAGGAUGGGGGAGGAGCUGAGCAUCAAGAAGGACAGUGUUGAUGUAUCACCUACUGACAGUUUAGAAAAGGGAAGGCAACAAUGUGACCCAUGGGCAGUGUUGUCCUGCCUGAGCCUUGUCUGCAGGGCUGUGGCACUGGGGAGCAGGACAAGGACCACACCCACUGGAGAAAGAAGCACGUGCUGCUUUUGUGAGUUCACAAAGGUCUCAAGCUUCCAGGGCUAACAUUGUCCCUGCCACAUGUGACCAACUUAGAAUGAUCACCUGCCACAUGCCACAGCCUGGACAUUGGAAUCUAAGGUGGAAGGAAGACAGCACCAAGCUGUGAAGUCACUCAAGCAGCCUGUGGAAAGGCCACAUGGAGAGAAACUGAGCUCCCACCUGCAGCCAGCAUGGACUUGAGUCAUAUGACUGAGACACCUGGGAAGUGGAUCCUCCAGCCCCAGUCAAGCCUUCAGAUGACAGCAGCCCAGAACCACCCAGCCAGGCCUGCUCCAUAUUCCUGACCCAAAGAAAUUGUGAGGCAUUGGGAGACAUUGAGAGAAAUUGUGAGACAAUGAUCAUUGUGUUGUAAGUCACUAAGUUUGGGGGUCAUUUGCUGUGCAGCCUCAGAUAAUGAGGACUUCUUCGUGCCCUUUCUUGGCUUCUUCUGUUGCUCCAACUGCCAUCUGAUGAAAGUGUGAUGAAAACCAAAGGCCCUCCUCCAGAAAGUUCAGCCAGAGCAUCCCAGACAACUGCCCUUUCAGCUCCAAAGAGUGCAGCCUCAUCAGCCCUCCGGAAUUCUGAAGCAGAAAUUCUAAAAGCCAAAGAACCGCAGAAUCAUGACACGUCACCACUGCGGCCACCAUGUCAUGAGGACAUUUAAGCAGCCCGUGGACAGGAACUGAAGGUCCUGGGAAACAACCAGUCCAUUUGCCAGCCCCUUCAAGCCUUCAGAUGACCACAGCCUCGUGAAAAAUUUGGAGCCAGAACCACCCUCCUAAGCCAAUCCUGAAUUCCUGAUCCACACAAUGGUUUGCGAGAAUCUGAACAUCCUCCCACCUCCAAAGCCACCACCUGGGUCCACAGCCACCCCGUCUUUGCUCUCCCUGACCACUGCCACAGCCUCCUCUAUGAUCUCACUGUUUCACUCCUGCCCUUCUCCAGCCUGUUCUGCCCAAGCAGCCUCCCUGCUCCAGCAGCUGUCCUGCCCCUCACUGAACAGGUGGAGCUGUGAUGGCAGAGGUGACCCCAUGGCUUCUGGGAGGCUGCAGGAGACUGUCCUUGGAAAACAGGAUUAACAGCGUCCUUCUGAGGGAAAGUCUUUAUUAGAGGAGUGACUCCUGAGGUGGUCAGUGGUGAAGACGGUCAGGGCCAGGUGAGGAGUGUGCCCGUGGCCCUGUUCCAUUAUUCUCCACAGUUUGGAUGCCAAUCCUGAGUGAGUGAGUAUGAAAGGGGUGUGUGUGCCUUAUGCCUGUUCCUGGUGGCCAGGGGAGCAGGCUGGUUCAGUGCACAGACACUGGCUGUGUGACCUUGGGCAAGUUGCUUAACCUCUCAGUGCCUCCAUUUCCUCCUCUGUAACGUGAGACUAUAAUACUACUCAUGCCUACCUCACAGGGCUGUCAUGAGGAUUAAAUAAGUUCAUAGGUGCAGAAAUGCUUAGGACAGGCCAGGCAUGGUGGUUUACUCUUGUAAUCCUGGCACUUCGGGAGUGGAUCACAAGGUCAGGAGUUUGAGACCAGUGUGGCCAAUAUGAUGUAACCAUGUCUCUGCUAAAAAUAUAAAAAUUAGCCAGGCACGGUGGCAUGCGCCUGUAGUGCCGGCUACUCAGGAGGCUGAGGCAAGAGAAUCACUUGAAACCAGAAGGCAGAGGUUGCAGUGAGCUGAGAUUGCUCCACUGCACUCCAGCCCGGGCGACAGAGAGAGACUCCAUCUCAAAAAAAAAAAAAAAAAAAAGCUUAGGACAGUAUCAGCACAUGCAGGAGUUACAUGGGGGAUGGCCUUUAAUAUCAUUACAGGAGUGGAUCAAAUCUAUUUCUGCCAUGGGCUUGCUGGGUGACCUAGCGCAGGUCACUUUGCCUCUCUAGGCCCAGUUUUCUCACCUGUAAAAUGGGACCAUACUGGCAGUAUCCAUAGGGCAAGUGUGCAAAUUUGAGGAGCUCGUAUAUGAAAGUCUCCUUCAGGUGCAAGGUUGGUCCUUGGUGAUGCACGGAUGUGAGCCUCUUCAUGUGCCUGCAUGUGUGGGGCAUGGGCAAGCACUCAAGUGGCCUGGACUCCUAUCUUGGCUCUGAAUGCCCCGCUUCCUGGCCUGGGAUCAGCAGGACCUCAGUCCAUCCACCAUCCAAGCAUUCCUUUCUGUCCCUGCUUGCUUCCUGCUUCUUGGGCAGCACCACCACCUACUGGCCCAGAGCUACAUUGCAGCCAAUCUGCAUAGGAGGGCGGAGGGAAGGGAAUACGCACUGGGGCGGCUGCUGUGCGCAGAAUAUUUACCUAUGUACACACCAAGUUAGGUGUCAUUACCUCUAUUUUAUAUAGACUGAGAUUGAGGCUUGGAGGUCACACAGAGAGAGCCAGCUGUGAUGCUGGGGUUAGAGUCUCUGUCUCCCUUUCACCCCUACUCCAAACACCCUCUUAGAAUGAGAAUCAGUUCAGGUUCUGCUGUCCUAGAGGAUCCUCCCCUCCCUUCUGCGUAGGGAGCCAGGAGCUGAAGUCCAGGGUCCUUGGGAGAAUGUCAGGGUUGUUCCCCCACCCAGGGUCCUGAUUGCAGAAGAAAGAACACUGGAUUCAGAGUCCAGAGGCUGGGGAGUCUAGCUUUCCCUUCCCCACCCCAACUGCCAGCAGAACAGCCUUUGGAAAGAAUAUAUCCUGAGUGGGUAUGGUCCUUUCCAUCCACGGCCCCACCCAGGAUAUAUGCUCAUACCCUGCGUACUUUCCAUAGAGAAAAAUAUGGACAGUUUUCUAAAUAUAGCCUUUUGCAGCACUAAAUGCACUGAUCAGAAAGAACAGCAGUAUAUGGUGGUGAUUGCAUGCAUUUGCAGACUGUAAUUUUAGGUUCUGUUCUCUCUCGGGGUGUGUGGGAUUCUGAACAUUGGAUCCACACCCCCACACCUUGCUCACAGCUGGGAUCAUGUCCAGGCAGAAUCGCCCACAUUGUAUACAUCUUUCUCCCUUCUCUCUUUCUGAGCAACACGCAGUUGCAUUUCUGAAGCUACAUAAUAAAAACAGCUAACAUUUAUUGAGCUUUUAUUAUGUAUUAGGCACUGCUCAGAGCCCUUUACUAAUGCAUUAAUUCAUUAAUUCAUAUGAUCCUCCUAAUAGUGUUAUGAGGUAGGUAGUAUUAUUAUCUCUUCUCUUUACAGAUGUGGAAACUGAGGCACUGAAAGGUUAAGUAACUCGUCCAAGGUCAAACCCAGCCCAAGGGUUCGCCUUGUUCCUGGGUGGGAUCGCAGUACUGGUUAAGCUAGAUUACCAAUCUGGGUGCUGUCAGCUGAUCCAGAAACCGCUGUAGUGCGGGGUCUGCAAAAUAUCUCAAGCAAUGACCGUAGGUUUUGCAAUAGUGAUACUGUCCCCAGAAACAACUUGGGGAGGUUCGGGCCCUUGCAGCUGGAGGCUGCAUGGCCCCUUAACCUUAAUUUCUAAUUUUGUAGCCAAUUUGUUCAUCCUACAAAGGCAUGCUGGUCCCCAGGCAAGAAGCAGGUCUUUUCAGGAAAGGGAUAUCAGCUUGUUUCAGAGUCAAACUAUAAACUAAAUUCCUUCCAAGGUUAGUUCAGCCUAUGCCCAGGAAUGCACAAGGACAGCUUAAAGGUUAAAAGCAAGAUGGAGUCAGUUAGGUCUGAUCUCUUUCACUGUCAUAAUUUCCUUAGUUACAAUUUUUGCAAAGGUGGCUUCAACAGCCAGCGAGUGGUACAGCCUGGACUUGAAGCCAGGAAGUCCGGGGCUGCAACCCACACUCGUGACUGGCAUGUUUGCCACCUGAAUGGAGGCUCCGUGGAGCCAUGUGUGCGUGCCUGUGUGCCUGUUCUCAGCCCACAAGCUCCGUUAGGCAGGCUAGAACUAUCCAGGUCAGCUCUGCAUCCUCAGUGCUGGUCUAUUCCAUCCGGGGCCCCACUCAGGGUAUAUGCUCAGUGACUGUUGCACAAAUGCAUAAAGCUCACCUUGCAUAAAGCUCAUUUCAGCUUCUGUAUCUGUAAGACAAGAAUCAGAAUCAGCUCUUCAGAUUGCUGGAGGCUCUGACAAGCCCAUUGGUGGGUGAAUUCUCUUUUGAGACAUUGAUAUGAGGCCAGGCGUGGUGGCUUACACCGGUAAUCUCAGCACUUUGGGAGACCAAGGCUGGUGGAUCACUUGAGGUUGGGAGUUGGAAACUAGCCUGACCAACUUGGAGAAACCUUGUCUCUAAAAAAAAUUAAAUUAAAAAUAUUUUUAAAAAAGAUAUUGAUAUGGGCUGGGCACAGUGGCUCACACCUAUAAUCACAGCACUUUGGGAGGCUGAGGUGGGGGGAUCACUGGAAGUCAGGAGUUUGAGACCAGCCUAGCCUACAUGGUGCAACCUCAUCUCUACUAAAAAUACAAAAUAUUAGCCAGGUGUGGUGGCACGCACCUGUAAUCCCAGCUACUCUAGAGGCUGAGGUGGGAGAAUCACUUGAACCUGGGAGGUGGAGGCUGCAGUGAGCCAAGAUUGCAUGACUGCACUCCAACCGGGGCGACAGAGCAAGACUCCAUCUAAAAAACAAAAACAAAAACACUGAUAUAAUUUGGAUUUGUUUUCUGUCCUGAAUCUCGGGAGGGGUUACAAUCCUCAGUGUUGGAAAGGAGCCUGGUGGGAGGUAAUUUGAUGUUGGGGGCAAACUUCUCCCUUGCUUUUCUUUUAGUGAAUGAGUUCUCAUGAGAUCUGCUUGUUUAAAAGGAUGUGGCACCUUCCCCCACCCCGCUCCAGCCAUGUAGGACAUGCCUGCUUCCCCUUUGCCUUCUGCCAUGAUUGUAAGUUUCCUGAGGCCUCCCAGCCAUGCUUUCUGUACAGCCUGCAGAACUGUGAGCCAGUUCAACUUCUUUUUUUUUCUCUUUUUAAAAUGAAUCACCCAGUCUCAGACAGUUCUUUGUAGCAAUGUAAGAACAAGGAAUCCAGAUGCUAAAUUCUCCCUUGUCUACCUCCACCUUGGUUCCCCCUUGGAUUUUCAAUCUAUUCAACUUAGUGGCCUGUACCAGCUAGGAAGAGCUAAUUGUGUGUAUCUGUAUCCCACUCUACAUUCUGUAACAUCAUGUCUGUAGCUUGAAAUCAGCAAUGGUGAGUAUUUACACUAUGGCAGUUCGCAAAUGCUUCAAACAGGGGUUUUCCCCUCUAGAGAUGUUAAAUGUUUGCCACUGCCAGGAGGAAAUGAGUCCUCUAAUGGCCACCUUCAAGGAUGUAGCACAGUGGAGUGAUCAUGCCUAUUGGCUCUGGAGCCAGACCACCUAGGUUCAAAGUCUAGCUCUAUCAUUUACCAGUUGUGUGAUGUUAUUCAGUUACUUAACCUCUCUGAGCCUCAUUAGUCUCAUUCAUAAGAUGAUUCCCUAUUUCAUGAGGGACUCAAUGCCAUCUUCCAUAUAAGUGCUCUCUCAAUUAAUGUUACAUAUUAAUAUUAUCAGUCAGCUUAGGAGGCGGAUAAACUUUCUUGUUUUCCAUCCUAGGAAAGGGGUUGCUAAGGACAGGACUUGCAGUGUCAAAAUGGAACCUUAAAAAUGGCAAUGCCAGGUCUGGGCCAUUUUUGAGGGUGUCCUGAGCACUGGAAGGCCAGAUCUUUAUGAGCCAAUACAGGUUGUAUGUGGUGGGGGGGCGGUUGCAGGAUGAGAGGCCUUCCCAUUUCUUUUCUUUUUUUUUUUUUUGAGAUGGAGUUUCGCUGCUGUUACCCAGGCUGGGGUGCAAUGGCACGAUCUCGGUUCACCGCAACCUCCGCCUCCUGGGUUCAGGCAAUUCUCCUGCCUCAGCCUCCCGAGUAGCUGGGAUUACAGGCACGCAUCACCGUGCCCAGCUAAUUUUUUGUAUUUUUAGUAGAGACGGGGUUUCACCAUGUUGACCAGGAUGGUCUCGAUCUCUUGACCUCGUGAUCCACCUGCCUUGGCCUCCCAAAGUGCGGGGAUUGCAGGCUUGAGCCACCGCGCCUGGCUGGAUGAGAGGCCUUCCCAUUUCUUUCCAGGAAAGGCAGCUGUUAGCUCUGAAGCCUAGAACAGAUUUGGGGGCAGAGGUGAUCUAACCAAACUUUCCCUCUGCCCUCAGCUUGCCAAUCUUCUUGCUGGUGAACACACCUAGUUUGAGGUAGAGAGUUUCCUAUUCCACCUCCUUCUUCCCUCUGUAGAGGAGGUGUGUGUUGGAGGAGGUGUGUGUUGGGGCAGGUGCGUGUAAGACCAUCCUAAGAUACCCUCCAGGGAAUCUUCCCAUCUUCUCCAGCAAUGCCCUAUCUGGCAUCCUGCCUGAAGCCGCAGGUUUCCCUUGGAAUCGCUAAAGAAGCAGGAGAGAACCCGGAGAACUUCCUGCCCAUGUGCACAAGAGGUGAUCCAGAAACUUCAAGGGGAAAAUCCUGCUCUUCACCCCAACACACCCUAAUAGGCAUUGAUUUUUGGCUGCCAAGAUUACAAUCUCUCUCUCUCUCUUUAACACACACACCACACACACACACACACACACACACACACACACACACUUCUGUGUGCCAGGAAGUUCCUGGAGGGUCCUUACUCCUCAGAUUCAGGUGCUUCAGGUGGUCCACACCUGGGAGGUGCACACAACUGACCAUGAUGCCCACAAGACUGUGUGAAGGGUUGCCCCAUGUGUCCUCCUGCCCCUCCCACUGGAUCCCAAUGAAGGAUCUUUUCAGUACAGGAAUCAGAGCAUGUCACUCCCAAUUUGCCUAAACCCUCCAAUGGGUCUCACCACUUUUGAUCAAGACCUAAAUCCUUUCCAAGUCCACCCUCUCCCUACAGGAUCUAACCCUGCUUCCAUCCCUGUCUCCUCCCCUUGUCUCUCCCUCUGGGAUCCAUAUACUCAGGCCUCCUGCAGACACUGGAGGUGCGAAGCUCACUCCUGCCCUGGGAUUUUGCUACUGCUGCCCCCUUGGCCUGGAACACUCUUCCCUGCCCUUUCUGCCCACAUGAAGCUGAGAGGCAGACAGACUCAUGGUUGCUAGUGUAGAGAGGCCACACUACUGGAGUUUGUAUUUCAGUUCUGUCACCUUUAACUGUGUGGCCUUCAUCUACUGCUCCAACUCAGCCAUGCUCAUAAAGCAAGAAGGUUACUCUGAGAGAAGUGGGUCAUUGUCCCCACCCCCCAGCUCCAAAGCAGUGUCACAGAUGCUUUGUCCAAGGGAGAGACAGGUCAUAAAAACACAGAUCUUUAAAGUCUGUAAAGGAACGGAUCCUUUAGAACAGAGUGUGUGGAAAUUUAAGCCUAAGAGUGCUCUCAGAAGCAGCGGAGAUUUUGGUAGUGAUCAGGACCCAAAGUUGCUACAGUAUAUCAGCUUAAAUGUUCAUUUUUUCCAGCAAAGAAUUUCAAGACCUGCAAAGAAAUAGACACAUGUGACCCAUACACAGGGAAAGAGCAGUCAACAGAUAUUACCUGAGGUCAGGAGUUUGAGACCAGCCUGGCCAACGUGGUGAAACCCAACUUCUACUAAAAAUACAAAAAUUAGCCAGGCGUGGUGGUAGGUGAUUGUAGUCCCAGCUACUCAGAAGGCUGAGGCACAAGAAUCACUUGAACCCAGGAGAUGGAGGUUGCAGUGAGCUGAGAUUGUGCUACUGCCCUCCAGCCUGGGUGACAGAGUGAGAUUACAUCUCAAAAAAGAAAAACAAAAACAAAAAGCAAGAAUAAGGGAAACUAUGAUGACUAUGUCUCAUGACCAGAGAAUAUACAAGAAGAUAUUAUUUUAAAAAAUUAAUGGAAAUUUUGGAGUUGAAAAGUGCAAGUGAAAAAUUUACUAGAGGGGCUCAACAGUAGAUUUGAGCCAACCAAAGGAAGAUUCAGUGAAUUUGAAGACAGAUCGAGAUUUUGCAGUCUGAAGAACAGAGAGAAAAAUAUGAAUAAAAGUGAACAAGUCCUUGGAGAAAUGUGGGACACAGCGAGGUGCACCAACAUAUGCACAAUAACGUAUGUAACAGAAGGAGAGGAAAGAGAGAAAGGAACGGAAAAACAUGUGCGAAAAUAAUCACUGAAGGCUUUGCAAAUUUGAUGAGAAACAUGAAUUAUGCAUUCAAGAAGCUUAAUGAACUCCAAGUAGAAUAAAUACAAAGUGGUCAACAACUAGAUACAUAAAAGAAAGAUGUUGAAACCCAAAGACAAAAAGGAAAUCUUGAAAGCAGCAAGAGAGACACAGCUCAUCACAUAUAAGGGAACACCAAUAAGAUUGACAGCAGAUUUCUCAUUUGAAACGAUGGAGGCCCUAAGGCAGUGGGACAACAUAUUCAAAGUGCAUAAACAAAAACUACCAAGCAAGAAUCUUACACCCAGCAAAAUAAUCUUUCAAAAGUAACAAUGAAAGAGAUAGUCCCAGAUAAACAAAAACGGAGAAUUUGUUGCCAGGAAACUUACCUUACAAGAAAUACUAAAGGAAGUUCUUCAGACCAUAAUUUGAAUCCAUACACACAGAAGCCAAAGUGUUCUGGGAAAGGCAAUUAGAUCAUUAUGAAAGGCAGUAGGAAUGCAUAUUUAUUCACCUUCUCCUAACAUUUUUAAAAAUAAUUUGUAUAUAAUUGUAUUGUGGGGCCAAGACAUAUAGAAAUGUAAUAUAUUUUGAUAAUAAUAGCACACAGGAGGUGAGUGGGAGCAGAGCGGUAUUGGAUUAAGCAAGUGAGACCAGAUGGGAACUGGAAUCCACAGCAACAAAUUAAGAGAACCAGAAAUUAUAAGUAAGAAAGUUAAUAAAACAAAGUCUUUUAAUAUAUACUUGCUCUCCUUUCUUCUCUCAGCUUCUUUAAAAGACAUAAAACUAUAUAAAGUAAUAAUUACAAGAAAGUACUGUUGGUUUUGUAACACAUGUAGAUGUAAUAUAUAUAAAAAGAAUAGUGCAAAGAGGAAUAAGAGAAAUAGAGCUAUAUAGGAGUCACUGGGCACGGUGGCUCACGCCUGUAAUCCCAGCACUUUGGGAGGCCAAGGCAGUCCUAUCUCUUGAGGUUAGGAGUUCAAGACCAGGCUGGCCAACAUGGUGAAACCCCAUCUCUACUAAAAAUACAAAUAUUAGCUGGGCAUGGUGGCAUGCUCCUGUAAUCCUAGCUACUGGGGAGGCUGAGGCAUGAGAAUCGCUUGAACCCAGGAGAUGAAGGUUGCAGUGAGCCAGGAUCAUGCCACCACACUCCAGCCUUGGCAACAGAGCAAGACUGUCUCAAAAGAAAAAAAAAAAAGAGAGAGAACUAUAUAGGAGUAAUGUUUCUGUAUACCACUGGAACUAAGAGUGUAAAUCUAAAGUCGAUUCUGAUAAGUUAAGGUAUAUAUAGUAAGUCUAAAGCAGUCAUUAAGACAAACAAACAGAACAGUGAAAAGGAUAUUAAAGAAAUUUAAGGCCAGGUGCAGUGGCUUAUGCCUGUAAUCCCAAUACUUUGGGAUGCUGAGGCAUAUGGAUCACCUGAAGUCAGGAUUCCAGACUAGUCUGGCCAACAUGGCAAAAUCUCGUCUCUACUAAAAAUACAAAAAAUUAGCCAGGUGUGGUGAUGGGUGCCUGUAAUCCCAGCUACUUGAGAGGCUGAGGCAGGUGAAUUGCUUGAACCUGGGAGGCAGAGGUUGCAGUGAGCUGAGAUCAUGCCACUGCACUCCAGGCUGGGUGACAGAGUGAGACUAUCUCAAAGAAAAAAACAAAAAACAACAAAACAAAACAAAAACACCAAAACAAACAAAAAAUGCAAAAAACAGGAAUUUAAAUAUUACACUAGAAAAUAUUCAUUUAGUGUAAAAGAUGUCAAGGAAGCACAGGGCGACAGAAAAGACCUGAGACAUAUAGAAAUUAAAAAGUGAAAUGGCAGACAUACAUCCAACUCUAUCAAUAAUAGCAUUAAAUGUGAAUGGAUCCAGUCAAAAGGUUGAGAUUUCCUGACUAAAUAAAAAUCCAAGCUCAACUAUAUACUGUGCGCAGAAGAUACACUCAAGAUUCAAAGGUUAAAAGUAGGUUGUGAGUUAACAGAUGGAAAAAAUAUAACAUGCAAACAGCAACCAUAAGAAAACUUGGUUGGCUACAUUAGCAUCAAGAAAAAUAGAUGUAUUGUACAUCUAUUUUAAAGUGAAAUACGUUACAAGAGAUAAAGAGGGACAUUUUAUAAUGGUAAAAGGAUCAAUCAAUCCAUUGGGAAGACAUAAAAAUUAUACACAGAUAUGCCCCUAACAACAAAGCCCCAACAUGUAUAAAGCAAAAACAGAACUGAAGGGGCAAAUAGACAAUUCAAAAAUAAUAGUUGGAGACUUCAAUAUCUCACUUUUAGUAAUGAAUGGAACAACUAAGCAGAGGACUAAAGAAUGCAACAGCAGACUUGAACAUUAAACCAACAAGACCCAAAAGACAUCUAUAGAACAUUUCACCCAAUAAAAAGAUAAUACAUAUUCUUCUCAGAGUACAUGAAAAUUAUUUAGGACAGAUUAUGUUAGACCACAAAACAAACAUUAAUGAUUUUUUUUUGACACAGAGUCUUGCUCUGUUGCCCAGGCUGAAGUACAGUGGCACAAUCUCAGCUCACUGCAACCUUUGCCUCCUGGGUUCAAGCAAUUCUCAUGCCUCAGCCUCCAGAGUAGUUGGGAUUACAGGCACCCACCACCCUACCCAGAUAAUUUUUGUGUUUUUAUGGAGAUGGGGUUUUACCAUGUUGGCUAGGCUGGUCUUGAACUCCUGACUUCAAGUGAUCUGACCGAGUCAGCCUCCCAAAGUGUUGGGAUUACAAGUGUGAGCCACCAUACUCGGGCAAUAAAUUUUUAAAGAUUGAAAUCAUACAAAGUACCUUCUCUGACUACAGUGGAAUGAAGCUAGAAAUCAAUAGAAGAAAACAAAGACAACUCACAAAUAUGUGAAAAUUUAAAAAUAUUUGUGAAAAUUCACAAAUAUGUGAGUCAAGAAAUCACAAGGGAAAUUAGAAAACACCAUGAGAGAAUGAGAAUAAAAACACAACAUACCAAAACUUACAUGUUUCAGUGAAAGCAGAAACAUUUAUAGCUGUAAAGACCUGCAUUAAAAAGGGAGAAAGAGGCCAGACAUAGUGGCUCACUCCUGUAAUCCCAGCACUUUGGGAGGCUGAGGCAGGCAGAUCACUUAAGGUCAGGAGUCUGAGACCAGCCUGGCUAACAUGGUGAAACCCCCUCUCUACUAAAAUAUAAAAAUUAACUGGGCAUGGUGGCACAUGCCUGUAAUCCCAGCUACUUGGGAGAGUGACGCAGGAGAAUUGCUUGAACCCAGGAGGCAGACGUUGCAGUGAUCCAAGAUUGCACCACUGCACCCCAGCCUGGGCAAAACAGUGAGACUCCAUCUCAAAAAAAAAAAAAAAAAAAGUCAUCCAAAAAAGAAAAACCCUCAACAAGUCCCUGGUGAAUUCUACCACACAUUUAAAGAACUAUGAUCAAUCUUUCUCAAACUCUUCCAAAAAUUUAAGAGAAGGGUUGGGGGACUGGGAGGUCCAACAUGACCUCAUCCACAUGACUGGCAAUUGGUGCUGAUUGUAAGCAGGAGUGUCUGUGUUCUCCUCCUUGUGGCCACUCUUGCUCUGUUAGGUCAGACAUCAUCCCUUACAUCCCUUAUGUAAGGGUCAAGGGUCAAGGGUCCAAGCCCAAGACUGGAACUGCAAGGUCUCUUGAGGCAUAGGCUCUAAAAAUCACAUGACAUCACUUCUUUCACAUGCUAUUGGUCAAAACAAGUCACGUGGCUCACUCAGACUCAAGACAGUGGAGAAACAGACUCCACCUUGGAUGGAAGGAAUAGCAGAGUCACAUUGCAAAGGGGCAUGGAUAGGGGUUAGGAGGAAUGUGUGGCCAUUAAUUUACCCCAAAGAGACUGGGCGUGGUGGCUCACGCCUGUAAUCCCAGCACUUUGGGGGGCCAAGGGAGGUGGAUCACUAGGUCAGAAGUUCAAGACCAGCCUGGCUGAGAUGGUGAAUCCUCAUCUCUACUAAAAACACAAAAGGUGGCUGAGCACGGUGGCUGACACCUAUAAUCCCAGCACUUUUGGAGGUUGAGGCGGGCAGAUCACCUUGGGUCAGGAGUUUGAGACCAGCCUAACCAACUUCUUUACUAAAAAAUACAAAAUUAGCCAGGCGUGGUGGUGCAUGCCUGUACCAGCUACUCAGGAAUCUGAGGCAGGAGAGUCACUUGAACCUGGAAGGUGGAGGUUGUGGUGAGCCAGGAUCACGCCACUGCACUCUGGCCUGGACACCAAGAGUAAAACUCUGUCUCAAAAAAAAAAAAAAGAAAAGAAAAGAAAAAUAAUACACAAAGUAGCCAGGCGUGAUGGCAGGCGCCUAUAAAUCCCAGCAACUUGGGAGGCUGAGGCAGGAGAAUUGCUUGAACCCGGAAGGCGGAGGUUACGGUGAGCCAAGAUUCCAUCACUGCAGUCCAGUUGGUCUCAAAAAAGAAAAAAAUUUAGGCGAGGUGAGGUGGCUUACGUCUGUAAUCCCAGCACUUUGGGAGGCCGAAGUGGGUGGAUCACAUGAGGUCAGGAGUUCGAGACCAGCCUGGUCAACAAGGUGAAACCCCAUUUCUACUAAAAAAUACAAAAACUAGCUGGGCAUGGUGGUGUGUACCUAUAAUCCUUGCUACUUGGGAGGAUGAGGUGGGGGAAUCGAUUGAACCUGGAAGGUGGAGGUUGCAGUGAGCUGAGAUCCACUGCUCUCCAGCCUGGGUGACAGAGGGAGACUCUAUCAAAAAAAAAAAAAAAAAAAUUUACUCCAGAGAAUGUAGAUAAGGUCUACAAGUCCAACUGACAUGGUUUGGCUCUGUGUCCUUACCCAAAUCUCACCUCGAAUUGUAAUAAUACCCACGUGUCAUGGGAGGGACCCCAUUGGAGGUAACUGAAUUAUGGGGGUGGGUUUUUUUUGUGCCGUUCUCAUGAUAGUGAAUAAGUCUUAAGAGAUCUGAUGAUUUUAUCAAGGCAAGCUCCCUUGCCUGUCACCAUGGAAGAUGACUCUUUGCUCUUCCUUCAUCUUCUGCCAUGACUGUGUGGCCGUCCCAGCCAUGUGGAACUGUGAGUCCACUAAACCUCUUUCUUUUAUAAAUUACCCAGUCUUGGGUAUGUCUUUAUUAGCAGUAUGAGAGUAGACUAAUACAUCCACCAACCCUAAAAAGUCAGUGGAAGGAUUCCAUAUGAAAAUUUAGCCAGAGGAUUUCAUGCUGGUUGUCUGAAAGCCAGAAGCUUUUUUUUUUUUUGAGGCAGAGUUUCACUCUUGUUACCCAGGCUGGAGGGCAAUGGCACGAUCUCGGCUCACCACAACCUCCGCCUCCUGGGUUCAAGCAAUUCUCCUGCCUCAGCCUCCCGAGUAGCUGGGAUUACAUGCAUGCGCCACCAUGCCCAGCUAAUUUUUUGUAUUUUUAGUAGAGACGGGGUUUCACCAUGUUGACCAGGAUGGUCUCGAUCUCUUGACCUCGUGAUCCACCCGCCUCGGCCUCCCAAAGUGCUGGGAUUACAGGCGUGAGCCACCGCGCCCGGCCGAAAGCCAGAAGCUUUUAAAAAAACCUUUCAGGACAACUGUCUAAGCAUGACCUCAUGUCAUCCUGUUGUGAGGAUUAAAUCAGUUAAUUCAGGCCUGGCAUGCAGUAAACACGUGAUCAGUUUCAGUUGUUAUUAUCUUCACAAUAAUUCUAUGGGUCAGGCUUGUUAUUUUCCCUGUUUUAGAGACUCAGAGAUGCACAGUAAGUUGCCUGAGGGUUAUGUAACAAAUAAGCAGGGAAGCCAGGUUAGAACCCACAUGAGAGGGUCACCCAUGUGUAAGACUCCAAAGCCUCACUCAGGUGCAGAGGGGCGGGUAUGAGGAUGUUCAUCGCUGCAUUGCUUUCAGUAGCUUAAAAUCAGAAACAGUGCAGAUGUCCACCAACAGGGGCCACCCAGUAAACCCCAGCAUGCCCAGCCAGGGAGUGCUUUGUGCUGGUUACAAGAAAUGAGGUCACGCUAUACAUAGGAUGUGGGACCAUCUCCAAGACAUUCUGUUCAGUAAAAAGAACAUCUGAAAAAAAGGUUCCAUAACCCACACAAAAUCCUGCCAAAUAUUCCAAAAAAUCUAAGUCCAGGCGUGCGUGUUUGUGACCUCUGGAGGCUGAUCUGAAGCAAAUCUAGGUGAAUUAAACAAUAGGAUCUAUUUAUAGGAGUCUUCCUUUCUUACUUUUCUUUAUUUUUGUUGGAUUUUGAAACAUGUUCAAAGAAAAAGUCAGAAUACAAUAAAGUACUGGUCGGGUGCCGUGGCUUAUGCCUGUAAUCCCAGCACUUUGAGAGGCUGAGGUGGGUGGAUUACCUGAGGUCAGAAGUUCGAGACCAGCCUGGCCAACAUGGUGAAACCCUGUCUCUGAUAAAAAUACAAAAUUAGCUGGGUGUGGUGGCGCAAGCCUGUAAUCCCAGCUACUUGGGGGGCUAGGCAGGAGAAUUGCUUGAACCCGGUAGGUGAAGUUGUGGUGAGCCAAGAUCGUGCCAUUACGCUCCAGCCUGGGCAACAAGAGUGAAACUCUGUCUCAAAAUUAAUAAAUAAAUAAAUAAAAAUAAAAAUAAAGACACAAAAAUUAACGGGGUGUGGUGGCAGGUUCUUGUAAUCCCAGCUACUCGGGAGGCUGAGGCAUGUGAAUUGCUUGAGCCCAGGAGGUGGAGGUUGCAGUGAGCUGAGCUUGUGCCACUGCACUCCAGCCUAGGUGACAAGAUGAAACCGGGUCUCAAAAAUAAAUAACUAAAUAAAGUACCAAGAAGAAAAAGGAAAUCACCUGAGAUUCCUCUCCUCUCCUAGAGCUAACUAGGCUAACAUUUUGGUAUAUAUCUUUCCAGUCUGUAUCCCGUGUGACUGAGUGUAUAUACGCAUAUGUAUUAUUUUCAACUGUUGGCUUCCUCCUCGUGGUCCAAGACAACUGCUCCAGAUUUAGCCAUGACAUCUGUUUCCUGCCAGCAAGAAGGGGAAAACGGGGAGUAGAGGGCCUUCUAAGUAUACAACCUAGAACUUCCACACAUUAUUCUUUAUCACAUCUCAUUUGUCUAAAUGCAGUCACAUGGCUGUGCUGGGCAGAAGGAAGCCUGGGAAAUGUAGUCUUUCCUCUGGGCUGCCUCAUGCCCAGUGAAAAGUCAGGGGCUCUAUGACUAUGAAAGGAACAGGAGAAUGGAUAUCGUGGCAACUAGCAGUGCUAUUCACCUUUAUUCUCUCAGUGGUAAUAUCUUUCCCCAACAAGCGGGAAAAAUUUGUGUCUUACAUUCUAACCAUUGAACUCUGGGAGAGGACACUGGCCUGUGUCAUUCUUUUGAGAUGGAGUCUCCCUCUCUCGCCCAGGCUGGAGUGCAGUGGUGUGAUCUUGGCUCACUGCAACCGCCAUCUCCUGGGUUCAAGCAAUUCUCCUGCCUCGGCCUCCUGAGUAGCUGAGAUUCCAGGCACACGCCACCAUGCCCAGCUAAUUUGUUGUAUUUUUAUCAGAUGUGGGGUUUCACCAUGCUGACCAGUCUGGUCUCAAACUCCUGACCUCAAGUGAUCUGCCUGCCUUGGCCUCCCAAAGUACUGGGAUUACAGGUGUGAGCCACCAUGCCCAGCCAAGGGCAGCCCUUCUUUCUUAAGGCAUGCCUCGUAGCCAGGGGCUCAACCGCAGUUUCCAAAUGAAAGUCAGAGUUCCGGCAACACAUCCAAUAUUUGCCAAUCACAGCACUUCCCCGAAUUUGCUUCCUGAAAGCAUCACGAAGAGAAUCAGGAAAGGCUAUCCCAUUACAAAAACAGAACUGCAAGACAAGGGGCAUGAUGCAACUUCUCCAGCAAUUUUCAGAUCCUUUGCUGGUCAUUCUUAAAGUGAUGCCAUUAGUCUCUCUGUGUGUAAAUUGCAUCCUGUCUAGAAGAGCUCUAGAAGAACAUUUAAUUUCUUUCUUUCUUUUCUUUUUUUUUUGAGACAGAGUCUUGCUCUGUUGUCCAGGCUGGAGUGCAGUGGCACGAUCUUGACUCACUGCAAACUCCAUUUCCCUGGUUCAAGCAAUUCUCAUGCCUCAACCUCCAAAUAGCUGGGAUUACAGGUGCCCACCACUACGCUCGACUUUAUUUUGUAUUUUUAGUGGAGACAGAGUUUCACCAUGUUGCCCAGGCUGAUCUCAAACUUCUGGCCUCAAGUGUUCAGCCCACCUUGGACUCCUAGGGCUGGGAUUACAGGUGUGUGCUGCCGCGCCCAGCCCAUAGAAGAGCCCUUAACUUCUCUUCCCUUCUGAAGGAGUUUGUAUGUGUGUUGCUGGGGAAGGGGUAGUGUGUUGGAGAUGCCAUGGAAGUGGAUUUCAACUUUUCAAGGACAAGCCAGAAGAUGAUGGACCAGGGAGGAGCUUUAAUUGCUCUGUGACUUGGUUUCCCCAUCUGAAGCCAGUGCUUGCCUUCGAUCAAGGUUUUUCCACCAACUCACAUGCUGAGGCUCAUGUCUCUGGCACAGAAAGACCAUGGGAUGCAGAACCUAGGCAGCCUGGGUCUGAGUCUUGGUUCUGCCAUUCACUGGCUGUGACCUACCAAGAUACUGGCCCUCUUUGUGCCUCAGUUUCUUUAUUUGCAAAAUAGGACUGAUAACAAUAGGAGGAAUUUCAUAGAGUUUCUGCAAGAAUUAAAUAAAUACAGCCUCAGAAAGAGCCCAGGGCAUGGGAUGGGGUUGGCCUUCAGCAGAGGACAGCAGGAAUGGCCUCGUACCCUUGCCUAUGACAUACCAGGAAAAGAAGCAGUGGGAAGCCUCUGUCAAGCCAUGCAGUUCAUGGUGGCUCUCAGUGUGGAUGGACAGGGUAGAUGCUUGGUUAUUCUGGUGCUGACCAACCCCGAGGAAGCAUAAGAGCCAUUCAGUCUCCUUCAGAUGGCAUGUCUCCUUCUGUCUUCAGUGUGGAGCUGGCCUGAUUUGGUGUUUCUGAACCCCCUUUCUCCAGGACGCAUCUGAAAUGUGGUACUCAGUGUUUAUGCCAACAGCUCAUCAGAAAGAAUCCUGGCUCCAGAGACAACUAAAGUGGGCUUUGUGUACAGAUUUCAACACCCGUUUUCUGCGGGAUCCUGGCUCCAUCAUUCCCCAACUCUGUCUCUACCACUGCAAUGUGAUGUGGGGUUGUCAUGAUGAGAAUUGAGCACAUUUCACAAGCUCCAGGGGCUGGGAGAACUGAGGAGGGCACACCAUUGUGUCAGUUUUCUACUGCUGCUGCCACACGUGGCCAGUAAACAGCAACUUUUAAAACAAUGCAAAUUUAUUAUUUGGCAGUUCUGUUGGUUAGACGUCAGAUCCAGGUCUCUCAGGGCUAAAACCGGGGUGUCAGCAGGGCGGUGUGCCUUGCUGGAGGCUCCGGGGAAGAAUCUGCUGCCAAGCUCCUGCAGGUUGCUGGCAGAGUCCAGUUCCACGUGGUUUCAGACGAGUUUCCUACUUCCUCACUGGCCGUCAGCUGGGGCCGCCCUUAGCUCCCGGGGCUCCUGAUUCUCUAGGUCCCUGUGCAGGGGCUCCUCUUAUAUCCAGAGCUAGCAACACCAGGCGUUUCAAAUCCUUCUCACCCUUGGAAUCUCCCGGAUGGUUCCUCCUGCAGCUUCUGUCUUCUCACCUCCUUCGCUGAAUCUCUUGCGACUCUCUACUUUUAAGGGCUCAUGUGAUUAGAUUGGGCCCACUCAGAUAAUCCAAAAUAAUCUCCCUAUUUUAAAGUCUGUAAUCUUCAUUCUAUCUGCAAAGUCCUUUUUGCUAUUCAAUGUAACAAUCACAGAUUCCAAAACUUAGAGUGUCUAUAUCUUAGGGAGCCAUUCUGCCUACCACUAUUUUUUUUUUUUUUUUUUGAGACAGGGUCUAGCUCUAUCACCAAGGCUGGAGUGCAGUGGCACAAUCAGGACCCACUGCAGCCUGGGCCUCUUGGGCUCAAGCAAGCCUCCUACUCAGCUUCCUGAGUAGCUGGGACUACAGGCACACACCACCAUGCCCCGCCAAAUUUUGUACUUUUAGUAGAGACAGGUUCUCACCACAUUUCCCAAGGCUGGUCUCGAACCCCUGGGCUCAAGCAAUCCACCCCCUUUGGCCUCCCAAAAUGCUGGGAUUAUAGGCAUGAGCCACCUCACCUGGCUUUACCACGAUUAUUUGUUGAGCCUUUCUCAGGGCAGGGCACUGGGCUUGUCACAGGGUGAACCCCAAAAUUAGAAUUCAACUGGGAAGGCCACAGGGGUUCUUAGCUUCCUACAGGAAAGAAUUCAAGAGUAAGUCAACAAAGCGAAAGCAAGUUUAAGACAGUCCCUCUUUGGGACUUUGGGACCGAGGUGGGAGGAUCACUUGAGGUCAGGAGAUCGAGGCCAGCCUGGCCAAUGUGGCAAAACCCCAUCUCUACAAGAAACACAAAAAUUAGCUGGGUGCAGUGGGGUGCACCUGUGGUCCCAGCUACUUAGGAGGCUGAGGCAGGAGGACUGCCUGGGAGGUGGAGGCUGCAGUGAGCCAAGAUUGUGCCACUACACUCCAGUCUGGGUGACAGGGCCAGAACGUGUCUCUAAAAAGAAAAAAAAAAUUAAAGGAAUAAAAGGAUGGCUACUCCAUAUAGUAGUCCUGAGGUCUGCUGGCUAUUUUUAUGGCUAUUUCUUGAUCAUAUGCUAAACAGAGUGUGGAUUAUUCAUGAGUUUUCAAGGAAAGGGGUGGUGAAUUCCUGGAACUCAGGGUUCCUCCUCUCUUUUAGACCAUGUAGGGUAGCUCCUGGCUGUUGCCAUGGCAUUUGGAAACUGUCAUGGCGCUGGUGGGAGUGUCUCUUAGCAUGCUAAUAUAUUACGAUGAGCAUAUAUUAUAAUUAUAAUGAACAGUGAGGACGACCAGAGGUUGCUUUCAUCUCUAUCUUGGUUUUGGCAGGAUCUGACCAGCUUCUUUUAUCAGCAAGGUCUUUGUGACCUGUACCUUGUAAAACCAGUCCUGCCUAACUCCUAUCUG